AGUCUUUUGCUUUCUUUUUAAUGACCCCGGCCUCGCUCUUGUUCACGGGACCACAAUGCUCCGCGCCUCUUGUCAUUUGGAGGCGCCCGAAGACUUCAGCCAGAGGUACAUGAACCACAGAUGUUCAUCACCCUUCUCAGGACCACGUUCCUUUUUGGCAGCCCAGGUGGGAUGACCAGAAAUGAAGUAAGUAGAACAAGGCAACCCUGGUACUGCCCUGCUCAGGCUCCACAGCUCACUGUACACAUUCUGCUUAGCAUUUUAAACUAAAAGAGCUUCUGGUGAAAGCAAAUUACAUCCUGAAACUUUUCUCCAGAAUAGGUAAGUUCUCAUUUAGUCUGAAACCUAUGUUCCCAUAGUUUUGCCUUCUUAAUCUAUUUCCCAUCUUCAAAACCUAAACACACCUUAUCCAUCCUUAUAGACUCUGCCCAAGUUCCAGCUUCUGUGAAGAUCUGACCCAAAUUUGAAUCCAAAUGAAUUUUUCUUUCUGAUGCUUCUGUGACGUGAAUAUUUUAUUGCUUAGUAGUUAUUCCAUGAACAUGUAUCCUGCUCUAGAGGUUAUGGAAUAUCUAUAUCAUUUAUUGUUUUUGGAAUCUAAAGCAUUACCAGCUCACUUCUGGGCUAAUAGGAGGUGCUAAAAGUAGGCAAAAAGAGGGCCCUAUUCACAUAUACUUGCUCAAAGUGGAAAACCUGCUGGAACCCUCUAAGAUGAAUCUUUUUUCUUCUCCAUAUAAAUCUUUAAUGACAUUUUGGUUUUUAUUUCUGCCAUUAAUUUAAAAAGUGCUAGGAAAAUAAUUUCUUAUUUGCACAUGAAAUAAUGCAGUGCUUUUCAGAAUAAAAACACAUGAGUCAUUUUUGUGAUGAAUAAUUUGGUAUAUUUGGGUAUAUUCUAUUUCUGGAUAAAUAGUUCAAAUAGGAUUUUAGUAAUGCAUGUGUGAUACAUACUUAAAAACAAAAAUAAAGUAUCUUCUUGAGUGUUUGCCUUUGUUGUAAAUUCAGUCAUUCAAAUUGUUGUCUCUCAAGACCCAAAAAUGCUAGGGCAUUGCCAGCUUUGAGUUUAUCCUGAAAAAAUGAAAAGGAAAGAUUUUAAUUCAAAGCAUUAUUUAAUGAUUUUUAAUAAAUAUUUAUUAAAUAUCUUUAUCAGAUUUAAAAAAAUCAAUUCUCUAAUGUGAUAGAAAAAUAUUAUUAGCAGGUUAAACAGUAAGUCUCUUUGCCCAUGUUUUACCCUACUACUAUUUUUAAAAUUAUAGUCAUAUAUUUGUAUUGAAUAAUCUUUUAAAAGCAAAAAUAUAAAUGAUGUAUGGUAUAUUUGUGCUUUUAUGAUUUUCCCUGCUUCUCAAAUAUGUCGACAAUCAUGGACAAAACAGCUGGAGUUUUUGAAUUUCUGAACAUGGAAAUAAUAUGUAUUUAUGUUACAAGCAGUAUGUGGAAAAUGUGUAUUAGUGUUAUACUUACUUUUGUAAGAACAGUUUUUCUUUUUAGGGCCACACCUGUGGAAUAUGGAAGUUCUCAGGCUAGGGACUGAACUGGAGCUGCAGCUGCCAGCCUACACCACAGCCACAGCAACGCCAAAUCGAAGCUGCAUCUGUGGCCUAUGCCACAGCUUGCAGCAACACUGGAUCCUUAACCCACUGAGUGAGGCCGGGGUGGAACCUGCAUCCUCAUAGAUACUAGUUGGAUUCUUAACCCACUAAGCCCCAAUGGGAACUCCCUGCAAAUGCAUUUAAAUAAGAUAAUAAAUAUAGUAAUAAGCUUAAACAAAAAAUAGAAUUACAAUAUGACCCAACAAUUCCACUCCUAGUCAUAUAUAAAAGACUUAAAGGCGUUCCUGCUGUGGCAUAACAGGAUCAGUGACAUCUCUGGUGUGCUGGGACACAGGUUUGAUCCCUGGCUCAGCACAGUGCCUUAAGGAUCCAGCUUUGCUGCAGCUGCUGCUCAGAUCUGACCCCUGGCCCGGGAACUCCAUAUGUCCCGGGGCACCCAAAAAAGGAAAAAAAUAAUUAAAAACAUGUUCAUAACAACACUAUUCACAAUAUCCAAAAUACAGAAACAGCCUAAGCACACAUCAACAGACGAAUAUAUUUUUAAACCUGAUAUAUACAUAAGUGGAAUAUUCAGCCACCAAAAGAAAUGGAGUUCUUUUUUUUCUUCCAGUUUUAUUGAGAUAUAAUUGAUACACAACACUGUAUAAGGUUUUUUGAAAACUCGAAAGUGAUAAGAUAUAAAAGUAAAUCAUAGCAGACAUAUAAUAGUAAUUAUUAUUAUUUCAUUAAAGUCUUAAUCCAGAUACUUGGGGUAAUCUGCUUUCAGUUUAAUUUUGGUUAACAUUAUACAAAGUUUUUCAUUUUCAAACUUUGAUUUAAAAAGAAAAAAAAUCUUAGCUUCCUGCUUUAAUAAGUAAAUAUUUAAUAAUUCAAGACUUCUGGUGCCUUAAAGGUGGGUAAGUGCGAAAGGAGGCACUUUCCAGUUCAUAACUUGCAACUAGUACAUAUCGAAGAGGACUCUUCUUGGCAUCUAUUGUGUUUCAAGCUUGCUAUGAUGAGUUGUAUCUUUAACGACUAAAGCAGAGAAUUAGAGUCAAAGAGAACUUUUGGAUUCUAGGUUAGAAGAAAGCCAAGACUUAUGUAAAAGGAUUAUGACUAAGACUUUUCUAAGAUUUGUAAGAAUUUUUAUGUCCCCAUGUUUUCAUUUUGGGCCAUCCCUGUCCCCUGGUAGUGAUUGAAAGUGGUCUUAGGAAGAACUUGUUUUAUUGGGAGUGGGUGUAGAAUGGGAAGAGAGAGGAAGUCUGAGGACACUGCAUCUCAUUUUAAACUUAUUUUGGCUCAGGACUUAAAGGGCAGAAUAGGCAGUGGCAGCAUUAAGGCACAUUUACUCACCCUAAAAGUCAAAUGCUACAAGAAAAAAAAAAUCCAGUUACUUGAUUUUUAUGGAUGCUUGAGUCCUGUUAAUCAAGACUUUAGUCUCAAUAGUGAAAUAACUAGGAUCGUUACAACUUUUGAGAUUGGUAGAUUUGUAAUAGAAAUAUUAAAUGAAAAAAAAUUUUAAAUUAGAAAAUUUUUCUUAUUCAUCUAACAUGCAAACCUAAAUAUAUUAUUAUAAUGUGCUUCUUUACAGUCUUCUUUCUUGUCUUUAUGAAUUUAGUUGUACUAGGUUGACUUUCAGCUUUUAAAAUUUCCUUCACCCUUUAAUAGGUCACCUAUUUCUGGAGAUCGAGUAACAAUUUUAGGAAUAUUAAGUGUAAUGGUUUCUCUGUUCUUUGCUAUCACAUAUCGAAGUGCUCUGAACCCAAACACAACUAGAGCAGGAAAAUUCAGGAAGAAGACCAAACACACCUUAGUUUCUUCAUCAAAUUCUUCCAUGGAGUCUAUCAGUUUCCCAGGUUCCAGCUCACCUAGUGGAAAGGGGUAAUCAGUUCCCAAAAUGACUUUAUCCUGAAAAAAGAAAAAAACUUUUAUCUCUAAUUUUGUAGAGAAUCAAAGAACCUCUUGUAAACUUAGUUAUAUUCACUUAUUACAAGCACUUCUAUGGUAAAAUAACAAAUUUCUUCCUGAUUAGUAGAAAUAAACUGAUCUAAAAUUUUAAAGAUUAAAUGGAUUUAAAAUUUAUUCUGACAUUUUCUCCAGCAGGUGUCGCUAUUAGGUCUCUCAAAGCUGCAAAUGAAUCCUCAUUUCCAUUAUUUAUUUAUUUUUAAAUAACUAAAAUACAGAAUACUCAUAUAUAAGAAGCAGACAUUUGUUGAGUAAAACAUGCUGAUUCUUCAGAUGAAAUUAGGGAUUCUAUAUUUCUUAGAAUGAUGCAUUGCAAUUGAUCCCACAAUUUUUGAAAAUAUAACCAUAAU
rnacentral:lncRNA from 1 species